rnacentral:tRNA from 1 species
CAAAGUAAAGCUAAAAAUAGUAUAGCGUCUCACUUACGUUGAGGAGUCUUAUUGUGCAAGUCAAUAUGCUUUGA